CACCUCCCCAAAGGGUUUUUGUGAAGAUGGUAAAGUGUACAGUGCCUGGAACAUGAUAGGGGCUCAACGAAUGAUAGUAAUUAUUAUUAAUAAUUAUGCUAAUAAAUAAUGUGGACUGAACUUCAGUCAAAGAGAUAUUUGUAUACCCAGGUUCAUAUCAGCGUUAUUCAAAGGCGGAUGCAACGCAAAUGACCAUUAGUGCAUGGAUGGAUAAACAAAAGGUGUAUACUUACACAAUGGAAUGUUAUUUCGCCUUUAAAAGGAAGGAAAUUCUGAUGUAUUCUACAACAUGGAUGAAACUUGAGAACGUUAUGCUAAGUAAAAUAAGCCAGACACAAAAGGACAAAUACUGUAUGAGUCCAUUUAUAUGAGGUACCUACAGUAGUCAAAAUCAUAGAGCCAGAAAGUAGAAUGGUGGUUGCCAGGAGUUGAGGGGAGAAGAGGAUGGACAGUUAUUGUUUAAUGGGUACAGAAUUUCAGUUUGGGAAGAUGAAGAAGUUUUGGAGAUGGAUGGUGGCAGUGGUUGUGAAUGUACUUCAAAUGCAUGUAUUUCACUGAACGCUACACUUGAAAAUGGUUAAGGGCCAGGUGUGGUGGCUCAUGCCGGUAAUCCCAGCACUUUG
rnacentral:lncRNA from 1 species